UUGAUCAUGUAACCAUAAGGAUGCUGCAAAGGUCCUAGUGCCAUUGUAACUUUGGUGACUAAAUAAAAGGUUAUGAGUUGGUAUACAUUCUUUCAUCUGUGGAUGUCCUUUUUAUCUUUCAUGCAGCAUCCUUAAGCAUGGGAUUUCAUUUCUGUGCCAAUCUGUGCCUGGUAGUGACUAACUGAUAAUAGAGUCCUUCUCUUGAAAGGCUGGAUUCAAGGAUACAUGCCAUGCCUCCUUAUCACUUUCCUAAUAAAUGAAGGGCCAGUCUGUUGGAAGAACAGAUUCUAGCUCAAUUCAAUAUCAAAGCUAUAAUGUGUUUUUUCUAAGAAUGCAUCUGUAAUGAUUUCACACUAUGAAGGAUACCAUACGUAUUGUAGUCAUUCUCAUCAGUUGUAAAACAAUUAUUUCUGUAUUGUGGAUCUUUUUUAGUGUAUAUGCAUGCCCAUGUUGCCUUUAACAUUUUAUAGAAGAUCUGCAUAAGCUUGUGGCGCUUACCUUGUCGAGUGCAGAAGAUCAGUGACUCAUUAUAUGUGGCUAGCUUGGGAAAUAUAUCUAUGGAGAUUCUCAGUCAUUCAAGUCAUGGUUGUCCAAAGGUGCUUUUUGUUUUUCCUUGAAGAUGUUUCGCUUCUCAUUCAAGAAGCUUCUUCAAAUCCUGAAUCAAUUGUUCAGGGCCAGGCUUCUACCCAAUUUUUUUUGCCAUGGCCAAUAGGAUGGGGGUACUGUAAGGGAGAGGCCUCUUUUUACAUGGAAGAUGGGACUCGAGUGGUUUUUCUUACCCUCUCCUAUUUGGAUGUUUCAAUCUCCUAACACAGAUGGUUGAGUGUUUUCUAUUCUUUUUUCCCUGAUGGUUUUCUUUUUUUCUGUGAUUUUAUUCUGUAGGAGUCAGUUGCAGGAUUUGGGAGGAGGUUAAGAACACGUCCUGAGAGGCCUGUAAAAAAGAAAAGACGCUUAUGAAGAAACAACACAAUCAAAGGUUCCAAAUGGCCAGAAAACCAAGAACAAAAUUCCCAAAUCUGGAGGGUACUGCUAAAGGGAAAUUCAGACUGGAUGCCAAAAUGGGAAGAGAUAGUGAAGGUUAAUACUAAAGAACUGGAUAUUGGAUGGAGUAGAUGGUGACUUACCGACCACACUGCAAUUUGGAAGAUGAAGGUAAGACAUCAGUAGCGACUUUGGAAGA